rnacentral:lncRNA from 10 species
AAUAAAAGGAAAAGACUGUCAUAUAUAUAUAUAUUUUAUCUCAGCUCACUGCAACCUCUGCCUCCUCAGUUAUAACCAUUCUCCUGCCUCAUCCUCCCAAGUAGCUGGGACAACAGGCACACGCCACUAUGCCCAGCUAAUUUUUUGUGUUGUUAGUAGAUAAAUGAUUUAUUUUAUUGGCAAAACUUUCUGAAAAUGGCACAGAACAAAAUAAACAAAAUCUUUAAACAGAGUUAGUAACCAAGGAGUGUGCACAACAACCAAAGUCAGUGCAAUCACUGACAUGCCCUUUGUCCAAGCGCAAAGGGAAUAAUUAAGGUGCGUAUUGAAUUUCACUGCAAAAAGCAGAAUACUAUUUUGUGCAUCAGACUGCAGCAUAAGACUCAGGACCUGUAAAGACCACGCGGAACAACGGGACCAUCUGUAGAUGAGUGUUUGAUGACAUUUUUGAAGCAUCUGUGAUGACAUGGGUCAUUCACCCAGACUUCAACUAUCUCACACCCUCACUGGGGUUCAGCCGAGUAACUUUGAAGCAACCCAAUGAAUAGCUACUAUUGACAUUUUCUAAAAAUAAGACGUGAGAAAGGAAAGUUUCAACAAACUUCUUCAAUUCAUUUCAACUCAAUAAACAUUUUUGAAGGCUCACUAAUGUGCACUGUCUUUGCUGCUCUAUGCAUCUCUCUUAUCUAUUAAAUGUUCAUCCUGCUUCAGAUCCCUGUCAGAUCUAUCCUUCA